rnacentral:rRNA from 1 species
UUAAUUGAAGAGUUUGAUCAUGGCUCAGAUUGAACGCUGGCGGCAGGCCUAACACAUGCAAGUCGAGCGGCAGCGACAACAUUGAACCUUCGGGGGAUUUGUUGGGCGGCGAGCGGCGGACGGGUGAGUAAUGCCUGGGAAAUUGCCCUGAU